CUACGCAGGAAUCCCCAGGAACGGAGGACGGCCACCCAGUCGUCCUCAGCUACAAGGGCUUAGAGGAACGCAAAACCAUAAUGCUGACAACUAUGCCUGGAGAAGGUUACACCGUCAACAAUCGGAUAAAGGCGGUUCCUGAAGGCGGUGAGGCAGUGGAGUACCAUGCCGUUUACGGCGAUUUUGAUGUAUGCGCGGUAAUCAGGAUGACCUACAUAAGUG